ensembl:lncRNA
AUGGAUCUUAUGGUGGAUCUUAAGUCUCUGGGUGAUCCCAUCAAGCAGUUCAGCGAUUAUGUGUCAGGGACGGGGACCAAACCGGACAACAAAAUAGGCACCAAAAAGAGCACAGGGGCCAGACGGAAGAGCAUAGUCGUGAGCACAGGGGCCAGACGGAAGAGCGUAGUUGUAGUCCGGAGGCACAGCAUUGUCAGGAGGAAGAGUGUCCCUUGCGCCAAAACUUGCGCUAAAACUUGCGCCAAGCAGAGAGCCGUACCAGACUCCUGGCUCAGUGCAUACCAGGCUGACAUUCAAAGAGAAAGGAAACUGAGAGAGAAGAAGGUUGCAGAAAGGUCCAUCAGAAGGAGGAGUCAGCAUUUCAGGAGCCAGCACUGCCUCCCAAAGGUAAUUCAGUCUGUGUGCAUGUCGUGUCACUGGUCAUAAGAACAGAAGGUCACUCAUUCAGUAGACAUCUGAUUUGAGAAGAUAUCAAUUUAAUUUUGAAGGAGUAAUGGGUGAAACUUGGGAAUAACGAGACCUUUUCUAAUUGAACUGACCUCAUAUGUCUCGUUUAUAUGAAGGGAUUACACGGGUACUGUCGGCCAGGAUUUUAGACUUACAAAAGGCAUAAUUGAACCUUUCUUUUUUUUUUUCUAUCUUCAUGUAGAGUAAGACAAAUGCCAAGAGGAACCAGAAAUCUGCGAAGGAUGAUUCGCUGUUUGGUGCCUUCCAGGGGCUCAGUCUGAACGUAACGGGAGGCGCCCAGAGCUCUAUGGCCUCAGGCGGGGACCAGUGUAAAGUAAUGUGAGACAAAAGACUUGACUCGUAUAACCUGGCCUAGGCUUCGCUCAUGUACAUGAAAGCCUGGGCCGAGGCAACAUAUCCUCUAACACUUUAAUCUUGUCCAUCAGAUGGCUCUCUCUGUUGACAUGUGUAUGGGAUAACAAUUGAGACUGGGGACGAGGUUACCUACACUUUCCCUUGAGACAUUCUGAGAAGACUGAACUACGGGGAAAAACAACCGGUCUUGUGUGGUGAUGAGAAAUCACAAUGAAGCCAAAGUUUUAAAGGUAGACUCAACAAUAUGAUGUAGAUACAGAAUAGUGGGUAAAUUUCCACAACAACUAAGCGCGAGGCUGUUUGGUCCCGUACCUACCACGUUGGGCUCCUGAGUGGUGCAGCGGUCUAAGGCACUGCAUCUCAGUACUAGAGGCAUCAGUACAGACCCUGGUUCGAUUCUGGGCUGUAUCACAACCGGCCGUGAUUGGGAGUCCCAUAGGGCGGCGCACAAUUGGCCCAGCGUUGUCCGGGUUAGGAUUUGGCCGGGGUAGGCCGUCAUUGUAAAUAAGAAUUUGUUCUUAACUGACUUGCCUCGUUAAAUAAAACUUUUUUUUUAUUUUAUUUUAUUUUUUUACAUAUUUUCCACAGUCAAAAUUGUCUAUAAGAAGAAAAAAAAAUCAUGCAUUUUUAUAAAUUUAGGGUUAGGCAUAAGGUUAGCAGUGUAGGUUCGGUUAAAAAUAACUUUUUAAUAAGAGAAAUUGUACGAAUAGUCGGGGUUUAUGACUUUGUGGCUGUGGUAACUAGUUACGACCAACAGCUUGAAGCGAACCCGUGCGCAUGUGCAAAUACUGUGUGAGAGCGUCAUCUUGCAUCUCCCUAUAUCCCAAUAUCUGCGGUGCUGCUCGUGGCAACGUCAUUUUGCUGAGUCUACCUUUUCAGUUUGUUUAAAGAUGAAGGGGGUAAGUGCACUAGCAUAUCAGACACCACAAGCUCUGGGGGCCCAUGCGCCUGUCAUCAAUGUCUAUUUUUAUUUGAUUUAAUAAAUCAUUUUGACAGUAACCCUCAAGUCAAUCAUAAGCCUUUUCAAUUUCCAUAUGUAUUAAGAAGCUAAGUGUUUGUUUCUUGGGCUUCAGGAAUGUGACGGAAAAAAAGUGCCUCAGGCCUUGUAGCAACUGAUAAUGUAAUAACUGCCAAUAAUGUACUAGCUGCUAAUGUAAUAACUUUUGCAUUCAUAGAGUAAUAAAUGCCGAUAAUGUAAUAAAUAUGCUGAACGCAUAAGGUUUUUG